rnacentral:rRNA from 1 species
GCAAGUCGAGCGGAAACGAUAUGAAAGAUACUUUGGUUGAAUUUAUAGGCGUCGAGCGGCGGACGGGUGAGUAAUGCUUGGGAAGUUGCCUAUCAGAGUGGGAUAACUAUUGGAAACGAUAGCUAAUACCGCAUAAUAUCUGAGGAUCAAAGUGUGGGACCUUCGGGCCACAUGCUGAUAGAUACGCCCAAGUGAGAUUAGCUAGUUGGUGAGGUAAGGGCUCACCAAGGCGACGAUCUCUAGCUGGUCUGAGAGGAUGAUC